UACGGGGGGGGCAAGCGUUGUUCGGAAUUACUGGGCGUAAAGGGCGCGUAGGCGGCCUGCUAAGUCGGAUGUGAAAUCCCUCGGCUCAACCGAGGAACUGCAUCCGAUACUGGCGGGCUUGAAUCCGGGAGAGGGAUGUGGAAUUCCAGGUGUAGCGGUGAAAUGCGUUGAUAUCUGGAGGAACACCGGUGGCGAAGGCGGCAUCCUGGACCGGUAUUGACGCUGAGGCGCGAAAGCCAGGGGAGCAAACGGG
rnacentral:rRNA from 1 species